AAAUUUGAGUUUCUUUUCCCAAAUUCCCCAAAAUUCCCUCGUCUUCCCUUCCCUCUCCCCAAUUUCAGAAAUCUCUAUCUCCGGUCUUUUCGUCAUUGCCCUAAGCGGAACUUGGUCACCCUAAGCCAUUAUGAUGUUGCUAACGUGGAGGUGGGUUUGUUGAUGGCUAUUACUUUGUGGUUUGUGUGGCUAGGGUUCGUGGAGCUUGCGGCAGGGUGGUGACUUGUGGAAGUUGGCGUUUGCGUUACAGGUGGUGGAGGUCAGUGGGUUCGACACUACGGUUUGAUGGCGCGAGUUUGGUGGUGUGGAGGCUGACAGAGGUUCGCUGUUGGGUGGCGCUCUUCCAUUCCCUAGUCUCUGUUCGAAGCGUUUCGUUGGUUUGAAGCGUGAGGUUGCCGGCCCAAGGCAGUUUGAAGCGGUUGCUGUUUCGGACGCUGACGGCGGUUCGUUGGUGGCUGGUUUGCGACUGGGGUUUGUGUUUUGGUCCUGUGAGUGUUGCGACAGGGGUAGGGGUUGUUGGGGGUUGGCAUGUUGAGGGCAUUGCAGUGAAAUGGUGUAGGCUUCCGCUGCUGAACCUACCGAGAUGACGCUCUCUACCAAGCCACACAGGAUCAGCAGGGUUAUUUGAUGGCCGUGCUCUCCUUGAUUUCAUUCGCGAUUCUAGUCAUAGACGCACUCCGGAAAAGUCUGAAGAAGAAGAAGAGUUAGAAGAGUUUGUUAAUUUUGUGCGUUAUUGGGAUUUAGUAAAGCAUCGCGGUAAAGGAUAUCUAAUUUACCACAGCCUUCUGCAAGUAAAGGAUCUUACUCAAAGGUUGGGUUUUCUUAUGAUGGGAAUGGAAAAGAAGAAACCCAUAUUUCAGAAGAUGAUGAUGGUGAAGAUUUUAAUAGUGAUGAUAGCAAUAAUGAAGGAAUGGAAAUAAUUGCUAAAGAAUAUGGGGUUAAAAGGUCAAGGUCCAGAUCACGGUCCUACUCUCCUUCGUACUCAAGGCGUUAUUCACGUAUUAUUCAUUUUGAUGAUAUUCACCGGAGCAAACCAAGGACACCUAAAAUAGAAUACAUAACUGAAUUUGGGAGCUCUGGAGAAGCAGAUGAACCCAGGCUUGAAGGAUUUUCUCCACCAAGAUCUCCUACAUCUCAAGUUGAUAUGUUAAACCGGUCGGAGCACUGGACCUUUAAUUCUUGCCAAGAUAGAUUGGACAGUCUUUUCUCUGUGCAGCAUAUCUCUCAUAUUGUUGUCUGAGGCAAUUUUUUGUGGUUUAGAAUAGAUCAGGACUAGGUUUGUUGGGGUAACUUCCAUUGUCUUUGAGCUGUUUUUUAUUUAGAAGUAGAAUUUAAAUGUUUUUCCUCUGAGGUGUAAUAACUUGUAGUGUUGUAUUGUUGUGGCAUCAAGUAUCUUAUGUAAAAAACUACAAACAUAUUAUGCCAUAUCAUUUGAUAUUUCUUUUUCAA